rnacentral:rRNA from 1 species
GCUAUUAUUGAUCGGGCGUCAGUUAUUCUAAUCGGAUAACUGUAGUAAUUCUAGAGCUAAUACGUGCCAAAUAUGUCCUGAUCGUAAGAAAGGGACGGCUUUAUUAGAACAAAAUCAUCCAGGGACUUGUCCCUGUUUGUUUGAGUUGACUCUGGAUAACUUUACUAAUCGCAUGACCUUGUGUUGGCGAUAUGCCCGACAAAUGUCUGCCCUAUCAACUUUAGACGGUAGGAUAGUGGCCUACUGUGGUUGUAACGGGUGACGGGGAAUCAGCGUUCGAUUCCGGAGAGGGAGCCUGAGAGAUGGCUACCACAUCUAAGGAAGGCAGCAGGCGCGCAAAUUACCCACUCUCAGUAUGAGGAGGUAGUGACAAGAAAUAACGAGUGUCGCCCAAUUGGGAUUGACACAUUGGAAUGAAAUGAGUUUAUAAAACUCAUUGAGUAGCAAUUAGAGGGCAAGUCUGGUGCCAGCAGCCGCGGUAAUUCCAGCUCUAAUAGCGUAUAUUAAAUUUGUUGCAGUUAAAAAGCUCGUAGUUGAAUUCAAAUCGUGCUGUUUUGGUGCGAGUUUUAACUCGUUACUGGGGCAGUGCUUUUUGUAGUCGCGCACACUAUUUAUUCCCUUUAAUGGGUGUUUUUAGUGGCCGACAUGUUUACUUUGAAAAAAUUAGAGUGCUCAAAGCAGGCUUUAGCCUGCAUACUUUUGCAUGGAAUAAUAAAAUAGGACUUCGGUUUUAUUUUGUUGGUUUUCGGAAUUGAAGUAAUGAUUAAAAGGGACAGACGGGGGCAUUCGUAUACCCGGGGGAGAGGUGAAAUUCUGAGAUCCUGGGUAGACGACCUACUGCGAAAGCAUUUGCCAAGAAUGUUUUCAUUAAUCAAGAACGAAAGUCAGAGGAUCGAAGACGAUCAGAUGCCGUCCUAGUUCUGACCAUAAACUAUACCAUCUGCUUAUUCUCCCCGGUGAAUAAAGUAACCGUGGGAGCAACUCUCGAGAAAUCCCAAGUUUUUGGGUUCCGGGGGUAGUAUGGUUGCAAUGCCGAAACUUAAAGGAAUUGACGGAAGGGCACCACCAGGAGUGGAGCCUGUUGCUUAAUUUGACUCAACACGGGAAAACUUACCCGGCCCGGACACCGAAAGGAUUGACAGAUUGAGAGCUCUUUCUUGAUUCGGUGGUUGGUGGUGCAUGGCCGUUUUUAGUUCGUGGAGUGAUUUGUCUGGUUAAUUCCGAUAACGAACGAGACUCUAGCCUGCUAAGUAGAAUAGUGGUACUUAUGAAGGCCACUACUCACUUCUUAGAGGGACAGGCGGCAAUAAAAGCCGCAUGAAAAAGAGCAAAAACAGGUCUGUGAUGCCCUUAGAUGUCCGGGGCCGCAAACGCGCUACAAUGGCAGUGUCAGCGAGUGUUUCCAAGUCCGAGAGGACAAGGUAACCUAGUUAAUCACUGUCGUGACUGGAAUCGUGGUUUGUAAUUAUGCCACGUGAACGAGGAAUUCCCAGUAAGUGCAAGUCAUUAGCUUGCACUGAUUACGUCCCUGCCCUUUGUACACACCGCCCGUCGCUACUACCGAUUGGAUGGUUUAGUGAGGUUAUUGGAUUGGCGUCGGUGACGUGGUAACACACGUUACUGAUGC